UCCCAGACUCCUACGGGAGGCAGCAGUCGGGAAUAUUGCGCAAUGGAGGCAACUCUGACGCAGUGACGCCGCGUAUAGGAAGAAGGUUUUCGGAUUGUAAACUAUUGUCCUCAGGGAAGAAAAAAGACUGUACCUGAGAAGAAAGCUCCGGCUAACUACGUGCCAGCAGCCGCGGUAAUACGGAGGAUGCGAGCGUUAUCCGGAUUUAUUGGGUUUAAAGGGUGCGCAGGCGGCACGGCAAGCCGGCGGUCAAAUCGCGGGGCUCAACCCCGCCCAGCCGUUUGAACUGCCGGGCUAGAGUGGGCGAGAAGUGCGCGGAAUGCGUGGUGUAGCGGUGAAAUGCAUAGAUAUCACGCAGAACUCCGAUUGCGAAGGCAGCGCACCGGCGCCCUACUGACGCUCAGG
rnacentral:rRNA from 1 species